AUUGAACGCUGGCGGCAGGCCUAACACAUGCAAGUCGAGCGAGCGGCGGACGGGUGAGUAAUGUCUGGGAAACUGCCUGAUAGAGGGGGAUAACAACUGGAAACGGUAGCUAAUACCGCAUAUCCUCAGAGGUGCCCACAUGGGAUUAGCUAGUAGGUGGGGUAACGGCUCACCACGGCGCCGCUCCCUAGCUGGUCUGAGAGGAUGACCAGCCACACUGGAACUGAGACACGGUCCAGACUCCUACGGGAGGCAGCAGUGGGGAAUAUUGCACAAUGGGCGCAAGCCGGAUGCAGCCAUGCCGCGUGUGUGAAGAAGGCCUUCGGGUUGUAAAGCACUUUCAGCGGGGAGGCGUUACCCGCAGAAGAAGCACCGGCUAACUCCGUGCCAGCAGCCGCGGUAAUUC
rnacentral:rRNA from 1 species